UACGUAGGGGGCAAGCGUUGUCCGGAUUUAUUGGGCGUAAAGAGCGUGUAGGCGGCCAUACAGGUCAGCUGUGAAAACUCGAGGCUCAACCUCGAGACGUCGGUUGAAACCGUAUGGCUAGAGUCCGGAAGAGGAGAGUGGAAUUCCCGGUGUAGCGGUGAAAUGCGCAGAUAUCGGGGAAGAACACCCGUGGCGAAGGCGGCUCUCUGGGACGGUACUGACGCGUGAGACGCGAAAGCGUGGGGAGCGAACAGG
rnacentral:rRNA from 1 species